UCCCUGUUGCCAGGGCAGUCUAGCUAGAGAAAUUCAACUAACUAUAGGGGUUGCGCUCGUUGAUGGACUUAACCAAACAUCUCACGACACGAGCUGACGACGGCCAUGCAUCACCUGUCACUGCGGCCCGAAGGCACAUUUGCCUUUCGGCAAACUUGGCAGGAUGUCAAGCCUUGGUAAGGUUCUUCGCUUAUCAUCGAAUUAAACAACACGCUCCACCGCUUGUGCGGGUCCCCGUCAAUUCCUUUAUGUUUUAGUCUUGCGACCGUACUCCACAGGCGGGAUGCUUAACGCGUUAGCUUCGCUACUACGCGGGUCGAUACGCAUAACAGCUAGCAUCCAUAGUUUACGGCGUGGACUAC
rnacentral:misc_RNA from 1 species